GCGGGCAUGGCGGAAUUGGUAGACGUGCCAGACUUAGGAUCUGGUGCCUUACGGCGUGGGGGUUCGAGUCCCUUUGCCCGCACUA
rnacentral:tRNA from 1 species